GAUCGAACCCCGAGGGAAAGCUGUCUUGAAAACAGUUCAAAAGUGUUUAACUCACUUGUCGAUCU
rnacentral:tRNA from 1 species